CAGAGAGACAGUACGCUAAAUAAAUUAAGCUUAGAAACUAAAAUUAGUUAAAGGUAUAAAUGUAUAUACUUUUACAUUUUAACACGUAAUGAUGAGUAGGUUAUUGAGAGGACUCAUUGAUAAAGUUUAUGUUAGUGAAACGAGCAAGUCACGUCUGAAACUAAUAAGGUGGAUGCAAAGAAAAAGAUUACUCAAAGGAAAAACGAAAUGCAUGCGAUGCAAGAAACGCAUGAAAAUGGUGAUCUCUUCUUGUAAAGAUGGUUACAUCUGGCAGUGCAAAAAGUCAUGCGGACGAAAGAGAAAAAGCAUUAGGAUCAACUCAAUUUUUUCCAAAUCCCAUGCAAGCCUUUUUAGUUGGAUGAAGUAUAUACACAGAUUUUCACAGGGUCUUCAUUUGAGACAGGUGGAUAUGAUCCAAGAUAACAUCUCAAAGAGUAGUGCAACUCUGUCCAAGAUGUCCAUGAAAUUGCGCAGUGUAUGUGUGAGAAGUAUGCGAAGGUUCAGGAAAAAAAGAGGGCAAAAAGUUGGUGGGCUCAAUGUAUGUGUACACAUUGAUGAAAGCAAGUUUCGCCACAGACGAAAAUAUGGGAGAGGGCGUUUGGGGGGUGCAUGGAGAAGAAAAAGCUGGGUAUUCGGAAUGGUUGAGAUUUUGCCCUCCCGAAAACCAGUACUGCGGUUGGUGGACAAACGGGACAAGACAACCCUCUUACCAAUCAUUGAGAAACAUGUAAAACGAGGCAGCAUUAUUCAUAGUGAUGAAUGGCGUGCAUACUCAAGUCUUCCAGAGAGAGGAUAUCAACACCACACAGUGAACCACAGCAUUAAUUUUGUAAACCCAUUGACAGGGGUACAUACACAAAACAUUGAAAGGGCAUGGACAAACUUCAAAAGGGAAGUGUGGAGGUUGCGUGCAAAUCGGUCAGAGAAGUCUCUCAAAAACCAUCUGAUAUAUAUA